rnacentral:rRNA from 1 species
AUUGAACGCUGGCGGCAGGCCUAACACAUGCAAGUCGAGCGGAUGAAGAGAGCUUGCUCUCUGAUUUAGCGGCGGACGGGUGAGUAAUGCCUAGGAAUCUGCCUGGUAGUGGGGGAUAACGUCCGGAAACGGGCGCUAAUACCGCAUACGUCCUACGGGAGAAAGCAGGGGACCUUCGGGCCUUGCGCUAUCAGAUGAGCCUAGGUCGGAUUAGCUAGUUGGUGAGGUAAUGGCUCACCAAGGCGACGAUCCGUAACUGGUCUGAGAGGAUGAUCAGUCACACUGGAACUGAGACACGGUCCAGACUCCUACGGGAGGCAGCAGUGGGGAAUAUUGGACAAUGGGCGAAAGCCUGAUCCAGCCAUGCCGCGUGUGUGAAGAAGGUCUUCGGAUUGUAAAGCACUUUAAGCUGGGAGGAAGGGCAGUAAGUUAAUACCUUGCUGUUUUGACGUUACCGACAGAAUAAGCACCGGCUAACUUCGUGCCAGCAGCCGCAGUAAAAC